CUCCAAGCCCCUUGUCCCCUCUGCUCAUCCCACUGCCCCAGGAGUCUAAACACGGAGGCCUGAGACAGGGGCACAACCCCUAGAAAGGGCGUCAAAUCCACGGUGCCCGGUGAUUAACAAUGGCAGCAUCUUCGUGGAAAGGAUACAUUUAGAGGAGUCCUGAGGCUCGUACCAGAAGCUGACUCCGAAGGUUUGUUUUAAUGGAGCACAAAUCAGGGCGAACGACGUGAAAAAAGGUCCGUUUCUCCUCGAAGAUGCCACUUGUUUCUACCUCUAGGGAAAAGCCUUCCAAACUCUAGGAAAUCUGCAAGGUGAAUGGAUUCCACUGUGGCCUCAAUGCCCAUCUGAAGGCCUCAAGGCCCCCAGGAGCCCACCGAGGGCUUGGGAGCUGGUGCGAGGUCAGGACCAGGACUCGUGGCCUGGAGUGCUUUGCAAUAGGAUGAGGUGUCCCUUGGGGUCUUGUGUUUUGUCAUGGGCCACUCAGUGCUGACCACUGUUGGGGCACAUUUGGGGGGUUAGUGGAAGGAAAGCACUCUGCGCUUCUGUGGACUGGGAGCCAGUUCUGUAGUCUGGGGGUGGUAUCUAUGCAACAACGGUAGCCAAGAGGUCACUGUAUAUUCACCACAUGAGAAGAAAAACAAGAAAAAUAGUAGAUGGAAAUGAAGGAGAAAAAGACACAGGAGGAAAAGAAGCAAGUGCGAAGAGAAAGAGAAGACAGUGAGGUGAGAAACUUCGGCUGACCUUGGGACAUUUGUUCGCCUAUGCCCUUCCCUUGUCUUAGCAUGCUGUUCCUCCCUUUCCUUGUCUGGCUAACUCCAACACUACCUCUGGGCCUCUGAGAAAUCUUCCAGCCACCCCAAGACUAGGCCAGUUUCCCUAUUACAUGGUCUGACAAAGUCCCCCUCUCUUUUAGAGGCUAUGUCAACAAUGCUUAUGACUGUAAUUACAUCCCCCUGUAUGUGAUUGUUACAUGCCUGUCUCCCCUACAGACCAAAAGUUCUGAACUCGUGAGAUUCCAAAAGCCUGGGGUCCUCUUUGGC
ensembl:lncRNA